rnacentral:lncRNA from 1 species
UCCCCAAUUCUUUGGGCAGCAGGGCGCUCAUCUGUGUCUCCUCAGCCUAGCAAGAGGCACUGUCCUGAUACCUGAUGGAGGGAACUUUCUAGGGACGCUUUGCUGGAUAUUGUUGUUGUUGUUGUUGUUGUUUUCUCUUGCUGUUUUUGUUGUUGCUGCUGGUGUUUUCAAAGGCAGACAUGAGGAGGCUGAGGGACCAGGGUGACUUGUGGCUAGGUGUUUAAAACUGGCAUGGGCAGUGCCAAAAUAGAUAGAAAAACCCCCUUCUCAGAAGAACAAGCUAAAGAGAAGAAAGGAGGGAAGACUACCUGGAGCCUGGGUUUUCUUGUUCCGGCAGUAAUGGCCCGGGGUGCUGUUGCCACACUUUCCUGGUCCUGCUCCAUGGACGUGUGUGAUGCCAGCGCCACAGAGACUGCAGGCUGCUGUCUGCAAUCUGCUUUUGUUCAAGCUCAUUUCCAGGACGUACACAAACC